CAUAAGUCGCCUGAGAGAAGAGUACCAGAUACUGAAGCUGCCAUCCAGGAGAUCAAGGAAGAAGUUAUCAAUGGGGUGACUGGGAAUCCACAUAAGUCACCCGAGGCAUAUAACUGGAGAGUUUGUGAAGAAUUAUGAACCAACCAUUGGUAUUGAAAUUUAUCCAUUGGAUUUCACUACAAACUAUGGAGGGAUCCGAUUCAAUUGCUGGGACACUACUGGGCAAGGAAGCUUUGUAACAUUUUUGAAGAUGGGGGCUAAAUUUUUUUUCCUGAUCUGCAGAGUAUGUGGAGAACAAAUCCCUCUGUCAUCUGUGGUAACAAGGUAGAUGUGGGGAAUAAGAGGAAGGUCAAGCCUAGACGGAUCAGGUUCCCCAGGAGGAAACAGUUGCAGUACUAUGAAAUGUCUGCCAAGAGUAACUAUAAUAUUGAGAAACCCUUCCUAAGUCCUGCAAAGAA